CUGGCGAGCUGGCGCACCGCACCUGUAACUGAUUCCAGCAAUCGGCCGCUGCUGGAAUCUUAAGAAGCGGUGGACCAGUCAUUCGUCGCUCGAUGGUCCCACUUGUUGAUCCCGAUGAGCUGCUUGGAUCAAGCCAGGAACCACAUCCAGCCAAGCUCGCAUCUGCGACUGCUCCUUGCCAACCGGACUCUACAGCCUGCCGCUCGUUUCCCCGCUACCAUCUCAGAGUCUCUGCACUUACCUGAAUCCUUUCCUCUCCCUCAGCACCACCUCCGUCUGAGAAACAAACUAAGCCGGCCAGCCACCCCCGAUCCCAGAGGGCAAAUCUCGAAUGUAUCAUUGUCA